GUUUGGUCCUAGCUUUACCAUCAUCUACUACUCAACCUACACAUGCAAGUAUCCGCACACCCGUGAGAACGCCCUCACCCCCCUCCACCAGGAAGAGGAGCCGGUAUCAGGCACAAGACAUUGCCCAUGACACCUAGCCACGCCACGCCCCCAAGGGUAUUCAGCAGUGAUAAACAUUGUUCAUUAGCGCCAGCUUGACCCAGUUAGAGUAAAACAGAGCCGGCCAAUGCGGUGCCAGCAGCCGCGGCUACACCGCUAGGCUCAAGUUGAUGUCACCGGCGUUAAGCGUGAUUAAAGUAACACCACCCAUUAGAAUUAAACCACUACACAGUUGUUAAAUGCUGGUUCUCGAGGAAACUCACAGACGAAAGUUAUUCUAAUUAAUACUUGAACCCACGACAGUUGGGACCCAAACUGGGAUUUGACACCCUACUAUGCCCUACCGUAAAACAUCUACUCACACUAAAAACCGCCAGGGAAUUACGAGCCCCCUUAAAACCCAAAGGACUUGACGGUGUCCCACCCAACUAGAGGAGCCUGUUCUAUAAUCGAUAAUCCCCGAUACACCCUACCACCCCUAGCAUACAUCAGUCUGUAUACCUCCGUCGCCAGCCCACCAUAUGAACGUACAUCAGUGGGUUCAAUGAAUCUUUCGCAACCAUUAACACGUCAGGUCAAGGUGCAACUAACGGAGUGGAAAGCAAUUGGCUACAAUCUCUACAAUAGAGCACACGAAAAACUCGGCAUGCAACACAGUUAUGAAGGUGGAUUUAGCAGUAAAAAGAAAAUAGAGAGUUCUUUUUAACUCGGCUCUGGGACGCGUACACACCGCCCGUCGCCCUCUUCAAGGUAGCACAAGAAGAGGUAAGUCGUAACACGGUAAGUGUACUGGAAGGUGCACUUGGACAAUCAAAAUGUAGCUUACCUAAAGUAUCUCGCCUACACCGAGGUGGACGUCAUUAAACAGACCAUUUUGAGCUAAAAUUCAAGGCCCCUCCCACACACAAAUACACAAAGAAACAAAACAAAACAUUUUUUCAAUUAAGUAGCGGCGAUCAAAAAAUAACUAGGAGCCAUAAAAACAGUACCGCAAGGGAAAUAUGAAAUAAAAAUGAAAACCAAAGCACAAUACAGCAAAGAUUAAAUCUUGUACCUUUUGCAUCAUGGUCUAGCCAGUCUAACCAAGCAAAACGCACUUAAAGUUUGACCCCCCGAAACUAGACGAGCUACUUUCGAACAGCACAAGCCAACCCGUCCCUGUAGCAAAAGGGUGGGAAGAUUCUAAAGUAGAGGCGACACACCUAUCGAGCCUAGAGAUAGCUGGUUAUUCAGAAAAAGGAUUUAAGUCCAACUUUAAGUUUUCCCACAGUAACACUAAACACACCAACAACUUAAAAGUCACUCAAAUAAGGUACAGCCUAUUUGAACAAGGAGACAACCUACAAUGCAGGGUAAUGACUCAUCUCAGUGACUAAGUAGGCCUAAAAGCAGCCAACUUCCAAAAAGCGUCUAAGCUCCAUCACCGUACAUCACUAAUCCCAUCAUUAACACGCAACCCGCAACCACUACUGAAUAAUCCCAUACCCCAAUAUGGGAGAUAUUAUGCUAGAACUAGUAACAAGAAGAAGCACUUCUCCAAAAUGCAAGCGUAAGCCAAAAUGAACCACCACCGGCACUUACCGUUCCCCAACAGUACUAACUCCCCCCCCCAAGAAAACCCUACUGUCCAACAACGUCAACCUUACACCAGAGCAUUACUGGAAAGAUUAAAAGAAGGGGAAGGAACUCGGCAAAUACCAGCCCCGCCUGUUUACCAAAAACAUCGCCUCUUGACACCCCACAAUAUAAGAGGUCUAGCCUGCCCGGUGACAUAGUUAAACGGCCGCGGUACCCUGACCGUGCGAAGGUAGCAAAAUCACUUGUUCUUUAAAUCAGGACCAGUAUCAAUGGCCUCACGAGGGCUAAACUGUCUCCCCCCUCUAAUCAGUGAAACUGAUCUCCUCGUGAAGAAGCGAGGAUAUCGAAAUAAGACGAGAAGACCCCAUGGAACUUUAAACUCGUACCACUGCCCUAAAUACACCACUAAGACCCGGGCACAAUGGCUACUAGUCUUUCGGCUGGGGCGACCGAGGAGAAAAAUCAAACCUCCACGAUGAACGGGGACACCCCUAAUCCCAGAAUUACCAUUCCAAGAAUCAAUAAAUUGACACCAUUGACCCAAAUACAUUGAUCAACGAACCAAGCUACCCUGGGGAUAACAGCGCAAUCCACUUCAAGAGCCCCCAUCGACAAGUGGGCUUACGACCUCGAUGUUGGAUCAGGGCAUCCCGAUGGUGCAGCCGCUAUCAAGGG
rnacentral:ncRNA from 1 species